AGGCGAGUGCCCUAGCUUUUCUCUACUCUUCCGGAUAUAGAUAAAAGAGAAAGCAAGCAAUGGAAGAUUUUAAACAUAAAUCAAAAUCAAUGAAAGAGGAUUCUUCUGAGUUGAAGGAAGAUGAUUCUUCAAAGAGGAGUCACAGUCACAAUCACAAUCACAAUCACAAUCAUCGUGAUAAAGAUAGAAACAAUGGGAAGCUCAGGGAUAGGGAUAAGGAUAAGAGGGAUCGACGUGAUAGAGACAAGAGCAAUGAUUCUGAUCAUCAUGAAUAUGAUAGAGAGAGGGAUAAACGCAAAGACAAAGAUAAGAUUGAAAGAGUUAGAACUCGAGACAAGAAAAGAGAAAGAGACAGGGAAGAUAAAGAUAGGGAAAGGGAAAGAGAAAGAGGAGAAAGGGAGACGAGAGACAAGGUCAAGGAGAAAGAAAGAGAAAGAGAAAAGGAAAGGGGGAGAGAGAGGGAACGAGAUAGAGAUAAGGAUAGGAGGGACCGUGAUGGAGACAAGGAGAUCGAAAGAAAAAGGGCGAGGCGAGUCCGUGAUAGAGAGAAGCAUAGGGAGGUUGAUAGUGAAUACAGUGAUGAUGAUUCCAAGGAGAGAAACAGGAAGCGCCAUAGGAAAGAGGAUGAUGAUUACAAGGGGAGAGACAAGGAAAGGAGUGUUGGCAAGUCAAAUAGGAAAAUUGAAGAUAUUGAUGCAAGCCCGAGAAGAAAGACCAGUGAAGAUGACUCUGAUACCAAAGAUAAGGAGGGAAAUCCUACCCAUGAAGAGGAGAUAGAGGCUGAACAUAAGAGGUUGGAUGAAGAAAUGGAAAAGCGGAGGAGGAGAGUUCAGGAGUGGCAAGAGCUGAAGAGGAAGAGGGAAGAAGCAGAGAGAGAAAAGCAUGGUGAAGCUAGUGCUAAUGAACCAAAGUUGGGAAAGGCCUGGACCCUUGAAGGGGAAUCUGAUGAUGAAGAAGGACCUGGUACGGGGAAGCCAGAUAUAGCUAUGGAUGUAGAUGAAGAUGAGAAACCCGUUGAUAAGGAACCUGGGGAUUCAAUGGUGGUAGAUGGUGAUAAUGGAACAUUUGCAUCUGAUUUACAAGAUGGAACUGCUGGUGCUCCCGCCGAUGAGGAAAUUGAUCCGUUGGAUGCUUUCAUGAAUUCUAUGGUGCUACCUGAAGUUGAGAAGUUGAACAAUGUUGUGCCCCCUUUAAUUGCGGACAGAACUGAUGACAAGAAGCCGAAGGAUAGAGGGGAUGAGCAAAGUCAUGGUAGUCAGCUGAGGAAAGGUUCAAAUAAAUCUAUUGGAAGAAUAAUACCAGGUGAAGAGUCUGACUCGGAAUAUGCAGAUCUUGAAACUGAGGGUGACCAAAUAGAUGAAGAUGACGACGAGUUCAUGAAAAGAGUGAAGAAGACAAAAGCUGAAAAGCUUUCUAUAGUUGACCAUUCAAAAAUUGAUUAUAAUCCUUUCAAGAAAAUUUUUUACAUUGAAGUGAAAGAGAUCUCAAAGAUGACUCCUGAAGAAGUUGCCACAUACAGGAAGGAGCUGGAGUUGAAGAUACAUGGAAAGGAUGUCCCAAAGCCUAUAAAGUCAUGGCGUCAGACUGGUCUUCCUAGCAAAAUAUUGGAGAUGAUAAAGAAGCUUAACUAUGAAAAGCCAAUGCCUAUUCAAGCUCAGGCACUGCCUGUAAUUAUGAGUGGUCGAGACUGCAUAGGAGUUGCUAAAACUGGAUCAGGCAAAACACUUGCUUUUGUUCUGCCUAUGUUAAGGCACAUCAAGGAUCAACCACCUGUUGUUACUGGAGAUGGACCUAUUGGGCUUAUUAUGGCGCCUACAAGGGAACUUGUUCAACAGAUUUACAGUGAUAUAAAGAAGUUUGGAAAGGUACUGGGUCUCAGGUGCGUACCUGUCUACGGAGGUUCGGGUGUUGCUCAACAAAUUAGUGAGUUGAAACGCGGUGCUGAGAUAGUGGUUUGUACUCCAGGGAGGAUGAUUGACAUACUAUGCACAAGUAGUGGAAAAAUAACUAACCUGCGCAGAGUCACUUAUCUGGUCAUGGAUGAGGCGGAUCGAAUGUUUGACAUGGGCUUUGAACCUCAGAUCACACGAAUUGUUCAGAAUAUUCGACCAGAUCGGCAAACUGUUCUCUUUUCUGCCACUUUCCCUCGUCAGGUUGAAAUCCUGGCUCGUAAGGUUUUGAAUAAACCUGUUGAAUUACAAGUUGGUGGGAGGAGUGUUGUGAACAAGGACAUAACACAGCUAGUUGAGGUGAGGCCUGAUAAUGAGAGGUUCUGGAGGCUCUUAGAGAUAUUGGGAGAAUGGUAUGAGAAAGGAAAGAUUUUGAUAUUUGUCCACUCACAGGAGAAAUGCGAUGUUUUGUUCAAAGAUUUGCUCAGGCAUGGUUAUCCUUGCCUCUCUCUUCAUGGAGCUAAGGAUCAGACAGAUCGUGAAUCCACAAUUACUGAUUUCAAAAGCAAUGUCUGCAAUUUAUUGGUUGCAACAAGUAUCGCUGCCAGGGGAUUAGAUGUCAAGGAGCUUGAAUUGGUGAUCAAUUUUGAUGUUCCUAACCACUAUGAAGAUUAUGUACAUCGUGUUGGCCGCACUGGCCGAGCUGGUCGAAAGGGUUGUGCUAUUACUUUUAUUUCUGAGGAAGAAGCAAGAUAUGCACCAGAUCUGGCAAAAGCCUUGGAGCUAUCUGAGCAAAUUGUUCCUAAUGAUUUGAAAACUCUUGCUGAUAGCUUUAUGGCGAAAGUGAAUCAAGGACUUGAGCAAGCCCAUGGAACUGGUUAUGGAGGCAGUGGCUUUAAAUUUAAUGAAGAGGAAGAUGAGGUGAGAAAAGCAGCAAAGAAAGCACAAGCCAAGGGAUAUGGGUUUGAAGAAGACAAGUCAGAUUCUGAAGAUGAAGAUGAAGGUAUUAGGAAGGCAGGAGGUGACAUCUCACAGCAUCCAGCUCUUGCACAGUUUCUUGCUGCCUCGAAAGUGAAUUCACCGUCAAUCCCUAGUCCUAUCUCUGCUGCCCAGCUGAUUUCUAAUGGUGGACUACCUGUUUCUUUGCCAGCUGUUCUUGGUCUGCAGAAUACAGCAGUGAUGCCUGGGACAAGUCUGCCACUUGCCGCAAAUGAUGGGGCAACUCGAGCAGCAUUAGCUGCCAUAAACCUACAGCACAACUUAGCAAAGAUACAAUCUGAAGUAAUGCCUGAGCAUUAUGAAGCUGAAUUGGAGAUAAAUGAUUUCCCCCAGAAUGCUCGGUGGAAAGUCACGCACAAGGAAACACUGGGUCCAAUUUCUGACUGGACUGGAGCUGCUAUUACCACCAGGGGGCAGUUUUUUCCAUCUGGCAAAGUCGCAGGACCUGGAGAACGCAAACUCUACUUGUUUAUUGAGGGUCCUACUGAGCAGUCUGUUAAGAGAGCUAAAGCAGAGUUGAAGCGUGUUUUGGAAGACAUCACAAAUCAGGCUUUGCAACUUCCUGGUGGAUCUCAGCCAGGCAAAUACUCUGUUGUUUAGAGAUUGGAUCUUUUGAGCCUAUGCUUGCGUGUUCAAUUUUGCCCCUUCCAUUAUGCUUGAUCUGUGGCUGUCAAAGGUGGCAAUCAUGGUGCGGCUUUUUUUUUUUGUUUUUAAAUGUUUUGGUUUGGAGAUAUUUUAUCAAAGAGAAAAAAACAUGUGAUGGGGAGAUCACAUGAUUCAGUUAUUGAUGCAUUUGCUAUGAUUGUUAUAGUCUGGAUUUCAGCAAUUAUACCAAAACAGGAUAUCUUUCUUACAAGUUUUUCAUUUAAUGGGUAUUUUAACAGGAUAUCUAAAUUGUCAUUUUAGGCUCUAUAGUCUUUUUAAUGAUGUUUGUCCUUGUACGUGGCCUGUUGUAUGCGAACUUAUGAAUAAUUCUAUUUUUGAUGCUGCAAUUCACUUUCGUUUGAAUAUGUCUCAUCCCUUUAGGAUUGAUUUGUGGUGUUCCUCUGCUUAAAUGUACCGAUUGCUACUAAGUAUUCUGUUUAUGCUUAUGUUGACCAGUUCCAAUUUAUAUACAGAGAAUGCGCGCUUGUGCUUGUUUAUUAAUUGUUGUUGUGAGUUAUUGACUGCAACAGGAAUGGUUAUAAGGAGAAUCUAUAAAAACAGAAAUGGUUAGAUAUUUUGCUUAAAAUUAAGCUGUGAGGGGGUUCUGUGUUGAACUGUGCAAAGGGCAGGCAAGUGGUGUCAUAUCUCAUAUGCAUGAAUGGUACAGCUUCGGCAUGCCAUGUUCCUGG